UGGAAUAUGUUCUAAGAAGGAAAAGUC
rnacentral:piRNA from 1 species